AUUGGAGGGCAAGUCUGGUGCCAGCAGCCGCGGUAAUUCCAGCUCCAAUAGCGUAUAUUAAAGUUGUUGCAGUUAAAAAGCUCGUAGUUGAAUUUUCUGAUUAUGAAUGUACUGGGUAACCGGUCCAUUUAUAGUCAUCCACAUGAGAACCUUUUCUCGGCCUUCACUGGUCGGUUGGGGGAUCAUGUACUUUACUUUGAAAAAAUCAGAGUGUUUCAGGCAGGCGUUUGCAUGAAUACACAAGCAUGGAAUAAUGGAAUAGGACUAGGGUCCAUUUUAUUGGUUAUUGGACCAUAGUAAUGAUUAAUAGGGACAGUUGGGGGCAUUAGUAUUUAAUUGUCAGAGGUGAAAUUCUUGGAUUUAUUAAAGACUAACUUAUGCGAAAGCAUUUGCCAAGGAUGUUUUUCAUUAAAUCAAGAACGAAAGUUAGGGGAUCAAAGACGAUCAGAUACCGUCCUAGUCUUAACUAUAAACUAUACCGACUAGGGAUUGGUUGGGUUACUAAUAGCCCAAUCAGCACCUUAUGAGAAAUCAAAGUCUUUGGG
rnacentral:rRNA from 1 species